rnacentral:rRNA from 1 species
UACGUAGGGUGCGAGCGUUAAUCGGAAUUACUGGGCGUAAAGCGUGCGCAGGCGGUUAUGUAAGACAGAUGUGAAAUCCCCGGGCUCAACCUGGGAACUGCAUUGUGACUGCAUAGCUAGAGUACGGUAGAGGGGGAUGGAAUUCCGCGUGUAGCAGUGAAAUGCGUAGAUAUCGGAAGGAACAUCAGUGGCGAAAGCGACUUCCUGGACCAAUACUGACGCUCAUGUGCGAAAGCGUGGGGAGCAAACAGGG